UACAAUACAAUACAACAAUAUUAAAUCAGGCAACGCUAGCAAAGUUACAAUACAAUACAAUACAACAAUAUUAAAUCAGGCAACGCUAGCAAAGUUACAAUACAAUACAACAAUAUUAAAUCAGGCAACGCUAGCAAAGUUACAAUACAAUACAACGAUAUUAAAUCAGGCAACGCUAGCAAAGUUACAAUACAAUACAACAAUAUUAAAUCAGGCAACGCUAGCAAAGUUACAAUACAAUACAACAAUAUUAAAUCAGGCAACGCUAGCAAAGUUACAAUACAAUACAACAAUAUUAAAUCAGGCAACGCUAGCAAAGUUACAAUACAACUUUAUUGUCCAAUAUUGACAGUACCGUCACUGCCAAUCUUAUCUCAACAGAAAUCAUCAGAUGUCUGUCACAUUAAAUAACUAUUUGACGAUGUGCACAAGCAGACACUAUUGCGUACACAAAAACACACACACACCCACACACACGCAACCAGGAUCUGUUAUGGACAACGACAUAGAAACAGACUUCUCAGGGCUUCUCUGUAAGGACCAAACCCUAGCAUGUUUGCUAGAAACAGGCAAUAUUUAUGUGUGUGUAUUUUUGACUCAGUCAAUUGGAUCUGUCCAGUUAACCCCUAUCUCUGUGUACAUAGAAGGUAUAUGACUAGUCUACAAAUGGCCUGGAUGCCAGUCUGCUACCCUUUUCACACUAUCAUGACAACCUAACCCAAACUGUGCUGACUUCACAUUGUCCUUCAGUCCACGGUUCCAACAACUAUGGUGAGUGCAUAACUAGGCCAGCUCUGUACAGCUCAGUUUGGCUUGGCUUGGCUCGCUAGUGUGAAAAGACCAAACCUGUCUCAGACCAGAUUUGGCCUGCAGCAUUGUCACUGCUCUGCCAUGACUGACCUGUGCUGCUGGCAUCCAAGAAACCAACUGCCUUCUCAUUUACAUUUACAUUUAAGUAAUUUGGCAGACGCUCUUAUCCAGAGCGACUUACAAAUUGGAUCUAAAAGCCAUUAUAUCAUCAUGUCUUUGUAAGGUUGUAUGAUAUUCUCUCUCAGCGUUUUGUGUUCUCAUAUUUCAUUUCUUCUCAAUCGUCUUUGUUGCCAAAAUGUCUCAGUCAAUAUGUAACCAGCUGGUCAUAGUGCAGCUGGCUGGUACAUACAGUACAGAGGUUUGUAUGCAGUCUCUCCGUGAAGCAAUAUGAACAGGAAUGCGACAGCCUCCCAGCAGUAGAGAGAGUGACCUACUGUACAGUACUCUCUGAAUGUGGGCCUCCUGACCUGAUUUGAGUGUGUGUUGAUGCUUUAACAUGUCUCCUCUGCCAUUGGGUGAAUGUUCUCUGUAUGGUGCUGUGAUGUCAUACGACGCCGAGCGGAGCAGAGAAGCGAGGUUUGAUGACCUCAUCACCGCUCCUCUCUGUCUGCCCUGCCAGGCAUUCAUGAUGCAAACACAACGCUGAGGUUAUGUUGUUACACAACAUGGUUCUGAUGCAGGUGUUAUUUUCUGUAAAACACGGCCAAGGUAUUGUCCAAUUUUCUGUUCAUACCAACUCAUACAAAGAAAAAGCCAUAUAAAUAAAUUACUUUUGUGAGAUUAACA